ensembl:snRNA U6 U6 spliceosomal RNA
GUGCUAGCUUCAGCAGCACAUAGAGAGAGGAGAUUAGCGUGGCCCCUGCACAAGUAUGACACGCAAAUCCGUGAAGCGUUCCAUAUUUUU